AAACAUGUCUUAAUGUUAAUAAUUUAUAUUAAGUCUAACCUGCUCAAUGAUUUUAUUAAAUAGCCGCAGUAUUCUGACUGUGCGAAGGUAGCAUAAUCACUUGUCUUUUAAUUGAAGGCUUGUAUGAAUGGUUGAAUGAGGGAAUUACUUUAUUUACAUUAUUGUUAGAAUUUAAUUUUUAGGUUAAAAAGCUUAAAUCUUUAAAUGGGACGAGAAGACCCUAUAGAAUUUUAUUUUCAUUUUUUAUUAUACUGGAUUGGUUAACUAUAUUAGUUUAAUUAAUUUGGAAAUUUUAUUGGGGUGAUAGGAAGAUUUAUCUAACUCUUUUAUUUAUUAAUUAUUUAUUUGUAUACUUUUGAUCCCAUAGUAGGAUAAUUAGAUCAAAUUACCUUAGGGAUAACAGCGUAAUUUUUCUGGAGAGUUCUUAUCGAUGGAAAAGUUUGCGACCUCGAUGUUGGAUUAAAAUUAGUUUUAAGUGCAGAAGCUAA
rnacentral:rRNA from 1 species